AUGAGUUUUGGAAUGUUUUUUCUCUGCAUUCCAAACAGAAGAAGUCAAGUCUUUCUCUCCUACUUCUCUCUUCACAACUUCUAUCAAACCAAACACACUACAAACAAUCUCUCCCCCUCUUUGAUCAUUCUCGAUUCCAUCCAACCCUACGCACACAAAAUCCCCUCAAAAUCAUACAUUGCAAUUUCAAUUCAAUCCUUUGCGUUUAGGGUUCUUAAUUUCUGGAAAAUCAACGUUACACUGAACAUAAACCUUUUUCGACACGACAGUAGCGUAUUGUCGUUUACAGAAGUUGCCACGUGCUGA